AGAGUUUGAUCCUGGCUCAGAUUGAACGCUGGCGGCAGGCCUAACACAUGCAAGUCGAGCGGAUGAGUGGAGCUUGCUCCAUGAUUCAGCGGCGGACGGGUGAGUAAUGCCUAGGAAUCUGCCUGGUAGUGGGGGACAACGUUUCGAAAGGAACGCUAAUACCGCAUACGUCCUACGGGAGAAAGCAGGGGACCUUCGGGCCUUGCGCUAUCAGAUGAGCCUAGGUCGGAUUAGCUAGUUGGUGAGGUAAAGGCUCACCAAGGCGACGAUCCGUAACUGGUCUGAGAGGAUGAUCAGUCACACUGGAACUGAGACACGGUCCAGACUCCUACGGGAGGCAGCAGUGGGGAAUAUUGGACAAUGGGCGAAAGCCUGAUCCAGCCAUGCCGCGUGUGUGAAGAAGGUCUUCGGAUUGUAAAGCACUUUAAGUUGGGAGGAAGGGCAGUAAGUUAAUACCUUGCUGUUUUGACGUUACCGGCAGAAUAAGCACCGGCUAACUUCGUGCCAGCAGCCGCGGUAAUACGAAGGGUGCAAGCGUUAAUCGGAAUUACUGGGCGUAAAGCGCGCGUAGGUGGUUCGUUAAGUUGGAUGUGAAAGCCCCGGGCUCAACCUGGGAACUGCAUCCAAAACUGGCGAGCUAGAGUAUGGCAGAGGGUGGUGGAAUUUCCUGUGUAGCGGUGAAAUGCGUAGAUAUAGGAAGGAACACCAGUGGCGAAGGCGACCACCUGGGCUAAUACUGACACUGAGGUGCGAAAGCGUGGGA
rnacentral:rRNA from 1 species